rnacentral:rRNA from 1 species
GAUGAACGCUGGCGGCGUGCCUAAUACAUGCAAGUCGAACGGAGCACUUCGGUGCUUAGUGGCGAACGGGUGAGUAACACGUGGGUAACCUACCUAUAAAUUGGGGAUAACAGUCGGAAACGAUUGCUAAUACCGAAUAAAAGUAAUUAAGGCAUCUUAACUACUUAAAAGAUUUAUCGUUUAUAGAGGGGCCCGCGGCGCAUUAGUUAGUUGGUGGGAUAAAAGCUUACCAAGACAAUGAUGCGUAGCCGGACUGAGAGGUUGAACGGCCACACUGGGACUGAGACACGGCCCAG